UACGUAGGGUGCGAGCGUUGUCCGGAAUUAUUGGGCGUAAAGAGCUUGUAGGCGGUCUGUCGCGUCUGCUGUGAAAAUCCGGGGCUCAACCCCGGACUUGCAGUGGGUACGGGCAGACUAGAGUGUGGUAGGGGAGAGUGGAAUUCCUGGUGUAGCGGUGAAAUGCGCAGAUAUCAGGAAGAACACCCGUGGCGAAGGCAGCUCUCUGGUACGACACUGACGCUGAGACGCGAAAGCGUGGGGAGCGAACAGG
rnacentral:rRNA from 1 species